rnacentral:rRNA from 1 species
CCUACGGGAGGCAGCAGUAGGGAAUAUUGCGCAAUGGGCGAAACCCUGACGCAGCAACGCCGCGUGGGGGAUGAAGGUUUUCGGAUCGUAAACUCCUUUUGUUAGAGAAGAUAAUGACGGUAUCUAACGAAUAAGCACCGGCUAACUCCGGGCCAGCAGCCGCGGGAAGACGGAGGGUGCAAGCGUUACUCGGAAUCACUGGGCGUAAAGCGCGCGUAGGCGGGAUAGCAAGUCAGGUGUGAAAUCCGCUGGCUCAACCAUAGAACUGCAUUUGAAACUGUCAAUCUGGAGUGUGUGAGAGGUAAGUGGAAUUCCAGGUGUAGGGGUAAAAUCCGUAGAUAUCAGGAGGAAUA